UGUAUAUUUACAUUUUCAGUCCAGAGCAUUACAUUCUGCAGUGAUCUUGAGCCUACACACAAAGAGGACUGUGACAACUUCCUAGGAGCUCCUUCUGCUCGUCUGGGAUGUCAUUCAUAGCAUCUUCAGACAGCUGGUCUGCAGAGAGUGUGCCCUCUGAAGAAACUGUAUCUUCCAAGUCUGGAUACUGGCCUGCAUCAUCAGGAGGCCCCUGCUCUUCUGGGAUAUCAAUCAUGAUGUCUUCACACAGCUUGGAUGCAACAGCUGCAUUCUGGGGAGUAAUCGUGUGUUCAAAGCCCUGAUACUGGCCCAGGGGUGAGGAUGACUUUGACCCUGGAGAACCUGCAUCGCGUGGUGAUGAGGAAAGCUGACUUGUGUGUUCAGGAUGCUCUGAGUCUUCGGGAAAACACUUUCUUGGGGGGAUAACCUCGCAUUGUUCUCCCGACACGUCUUACUUGCUCAGAAAUAUCAUCUCUGAUAUCUGACACAUCCCACAUGGCGAGGAAGGAGUCAAAGCGCGAGCCUUCCCCUGCCUCUUUCACGUAGGGUUUAUAGGAGAACGAAUAAUGAUGGGCAGUUGCCGGGAAGGAGAUUUCGAUGCAGAUGAUAAAAUCCUGCGGGCCUGCAGCCACAGCUUCGGCACUUUGCCAUUCCCACGUGUGCUUUUCUGAAAUAAUGCCAACCUUCACUAACAGAGCUAUAAACACGGCUUGCCAGAAUGAGACAAAGACUAUCAGUUUGACACAAAAAUUUGCCAACAGGUUGUAUAGGGCUGAGCUCUUCUCUCAGCACUUUGUAAAACAGCAGGAGGCAAACAUGGCAAACAGUUGUGACAGGUUAUUUAAUAUAACCAAGUAAGUCCAAGCAUUGAAGAAACUAAAGUUCCCUUCAUCGUAGACACCAACAAUCUCACCAACGCCGUCACAGUGGUGAUCGGUCUGAUCACAGUGUAUUGCAAUACUCCUGCACCGAAAAAGCUGCAUUUCUCCCAUAGCCCAGGGUGGACAGCAGCACAGAGGAGGAGAAGCUGUUGCUGAUCUUUAGCUUCCAGGUGCAGCAUCACAUUGUAAUGCACUAAGUGCUGCAGAAUCCCCCAAAGGGACACAGGGAUGGUCAACAGCAGAAAGAUACCAGCGAUAAACCAUGCUUUAGUGUGUAUUCCAACCUUUAGUUUUUGAAGUUCCCAAACACACAAGGGAACCAAGAUGAGGAUGGAAAUUAUGUAAAUAAGUACGAGCAGGGGUCGGAUCCAUCGCCUCCAGUUGUUUCGAUUACAGACGCAGGGCAUUGUCAUAAACAAUUUAGUUUUGAACAGCUCAAAAAACGAACCAAGCCGAGAUUUUGGUUCGUUCUCUUCUUGGUUUUGUUUUUGGUUUUUUUGUUUUGUUUGUUUGUUUGUUUUUCUUCCUCUGGCUCUUUACAGGGGAAAAUUCAGCAGCAGCUGGCACCACGUCCUUGAGUCGCGCUGUGGUUGUGGCUCGCUCGGGAUGCUCGCAGGUGCGGGCUGCAUCCUCGCCCGCUAACCGGCAUGCACCCGGGCACAGUCGCCGCUCACCUGGAGGUCGCCUAAAGUCUCAGCUGUACCAUUGCACCAUGGCCCCGAGGACAGCCGGGGUGACCUGGGGGGUCCCACCUGCAGCUGGAAGCCAGCGACUCCCUCCCCGCUGCUCUCAAGUCUGAGCCGUCUUACCAACCUUCUUUCAUCUUCUACACUGAAAUGAUUGGCAAGUUGCCGUGGGUGCACCAGCAAUGGACAGAUUUCCAAAUAAACUACAAGACGUACCUUCAUUUAUGAAGUAGACAUUAAAUCUUUCACCUGUGUUGUGCCUGGGGCGUGUCCGGGGCGUGUCUGGGGUGUAUCCGAUCUGUUUUUCAGGCUCUGUUUCAGCUCAUUGGACCCACGCCUGGGUUACGCUAAUAGUCUUCUGACUAGUAUCUGCUUUAAUGUCUUUCUGUUAUAAUUUGAUGUCACCAAAUCCAUGUUCUUUAUGGAAAACUUUAUUCACUUAUCAGGGCCACAGGAGGAUCAUUGUUCAUCUACGGCUGUCACGUAGGUAGUCAGAGCAGCCCUAUCUCAUCCAGCCCUAUCGCCUACUGACCUCCUUUUGGUCCAGGAUGGUUAGCCUUGGCUCUGCGCUAUCACCCUUGCUUCUCCCACUCCCUCACAUUGGUAACCUCCCUUUUUGAAAGCGUUUUUCAGUUCCAAAGUCUUCCUGUUCUAAUGCCUACUUGGUGACUCUGGACAACCGAGAGCACUCUGAUCGCUAGCGACACACCGCAGCUCUCCGAUGGCACCUUUAGCUCUGACUCCACCAGUGUCCCAGCAUCUCUUUUCUUCCCCACCAGUCUGAGACCUCCUAGUCUGGAGCCAUAUCCUAUUCUCCAUGGGCUUUGCCUUGAUCAUUAUCCUAUCCCCCAAACUCUACCACGACAGAGGGGGCACACCAAAUAAUGUGUAACAACUGUGGAGCACAGAUCUGUCCUUGAAAAGCCAGGUCUACAUAGCUUUUGUAGUGACUCACUGCCUUUUGGCUGACUUCACAGUGGGUGAGCCCUGAGCUAGAGAUAAAGACUACCUCGAUGAGAGUCCCCCAAGACUUUGUGUCUGGCUUGUAUGGCAUUACACUUUCAUAGCAUGCAGUAAAGGAAUGCCAGGAAGUGACCGCUAGUCUUCGUGGAUAGUCAGAGAAUCUGGCAAAUUCUGAUGCUGCUUUCCCAGCAGCCAUUUCAAAGAGGAUUGGUGGCUGUGGACUAAGAGGAAAUGAAAAGCUAUGGAUUCCUUCAAAAUUAAUAAAGAUCAGAAUUGAUCAGGGGAGACUUCCUGAGGAUCUUGGCUGCAGGCAUGAGGAAAAAAACCUACAAAACAGAUGACUGCUGUGGGAUAAUGCUCUUGUACCCUGUAAACAUUUGUCACGUGUAUUGACUUGAUAAAAUGCUGA